AGGGAAACUGGUCUGGAGCUUGCGUGUCUGGUGAUUCAUGAUGACGAGCAGAAACUCCUGCUCUGAUUCUGGAGCUAGAGGCCAAUCUCAAAGGAGAAGGGUGUCUUUCCGCUCUGAGCUCCCGGACACGUUGAAAUCUCAUCGUUCAGCGAAUGGAACUCGACUCUGGGCUGCUGCUCCUUCCUGAAUGACUGUGUUGUUUGCACUGGAAUUGGGACUUAUUAAAGAGCAUUUGCAUUUUCUUUCUUUGAAUCAAAUUCUCACUGGAAAUCCAUUAUAUGAAUCUUAUUACAAGCAGGUAGACCCAGCGUACACAGGGCGAGUUGGGGCGAGUGAAGCUGCACUCUUUCUAAAGAAGUCUGGGCUCUCAGACAUUACCCUUGGGAAGAUAUGGGACUUGGCUGACCCAGAAGGUAAAGGGUUCUUGGACAAACAGGGUUUCUAUGUUGCCCUGAGAUUAGUGGCCUGUGCACAGAGUGGUCAUGAAGUUACCUUGAGCAAUCUGAAUUUGAACAUGCCGCCGCCUAAAUUUCACGACACCAGCAGCCCUCUGAUGGUCCCGCCGCCUUCUGCAGAGGCCCACUGGGCUGUGAGGGUGGAAGAAAAGGCAAAAUUCGACGGAAUUUUUGAAAGCCUCUUACCCAUCAAUGGCUUGCUCUCCGGAGACAAAGUCAAGCCAGUUCUCAUGAACUCAAAGCUGCCUCUUGAUGUCCUGGGCAGGGUCUGGGACCUCAGUGACAUCGACAAGGAUGGACACCUGGACAGAGAUGAGUUUGCUGUGGCGAUGCACUUGGUGUACCGAGCUCUUGAGAAGGAGCCCGUGCCCGCCGUCCUGCCCCCGUCCCUCAUCCCACCUUCCAAGAGAAAGAAGACAGUGUUCCCAGGUGCUGUGCCCGUCCUGCCUGCCAGCCCUCCGCCAAAAGACAGCCUCCGCUCCACACCUUCCCAUGGCAGUGUCAGCAGCCUGAACAGCACAGGAAGCUUGUCUCCUAAGCACGGCAUUAAGCAAACACAGCCGACAGUGACCUGGGUGGUGCCUGUGGCAGACAAGAUGCGAUUUGAUGAGAUAUUCCUGAAGACCGACCUGGAUCUGGACGGCUACGUGAGUGGCCAGGAGGUGAAGGAGAUCUUCAUGCACUCGGGCCUCACCCAGAACCUUCUAGCACACAUAUGGGCCCUGGCCGAUACGAGGCAAACGGGGAAGUUAAGCAAAGACCAGUUCGCCUUAGCUAUGUAUUUCAUUCAGCAGAAGGUCAGUAAAGGCAUCGACCCUCCUCAGGUCCUCUCGCCGGACAUGCUCCCGCCCUCCGAGAGAGGCACUCCGGUUCCAGACGGUUCAAGUUCCCUUGGAUCGGGGGAGUUCACUGGUGUGAAGGAACUUGAUGACAUCAGUCAAGAGAUCGCCCAGUUACAGCGGGAGAAAUACUCACUGGAGCAAGACAUUAGAGAAAAGGAAGAGGCCAUCAGACAGAAGACCAGCGAGGUCCAGGAAUUACAAAAUGAUUUAGACCGGGAAACAAGCAGUUUGCAAGAGCUAGAGGCUCAGAAGCAGGAUGCCCAAGACCGCCUGGACGAAAUGGACCAGCAGAAGGCCAAGCUCCGGGACAUGCUGAGUGAUGUCAGGCAGAAGUGCCAGGAUGAGACUCAGAUGAUUUCAUCAUUGAAAACCCAGAUCCAGUCUCAGGAAUCUGACCUCAAGUCCCAGGAAGAUGACCUGAACCGGGCCAAAUCUGAGCUGAAUCGGCUGCAGCAGGAGGAGACCCAGCUGGAGCAGAGCAUUCAGGCUGGGAAAGUUCAACUGGAAACCAUCAUCAAAUCUCUGAAAUCCACACAAGAGGAAAUCAACCAGGCAAGAAGCAAGCUUUCCCAGCUUCACGAAAGCCACCAGGAAGCUCAGAGAAGCCUGGAGCAGUGUGACGAGGUGCUCGACGGGGCGCACGGUGCCAGCCUGACCCGCCUGGCCGACCUGAGCGAGGGUGUCUCCCUGACAGAGAGGGGCGGUUUUGGAGCCAUGGUAAAGGAUGAUCCUUUCAAAAAUAAAGCCUUAUUAUUCAGCAACAAUGCCCAAGAAUUGCAUCCGGAUCCUUUCCAGGCAGAAGACCCCUUCAAAUCUGACCCAUUUAAAGGAGCCGAUCCCUUCAAAGGUGACCCGUUCCAGAAUGACCCCUUUGCAGAACAGCAGACAGCUUCAACAGAUCCAUUUGGAGGGGAUCCUUUCAAAGAAAGUGACCCGUUCCGUGGCUCUGCCUCCGAUGACUUCUUUAAGAAACAGACAAAGAACGACCCGUUUACCUCAGACCCCUUCACGAAAAACCCUCCUUUACCCUCAAAGCUUGACCCCUUUGAAUCCAGUGAUCCUUUUUCAUCCUCCAGCCUCUCUUCAAAAGGAUCAGGUCCCUUUGGAACCUUGGACCCCUUCGGAAGUGGCUCCUUCAGUAGUGCUGAGGGCUUUGCUGACUUCAGCCAGAUGUCCAAGAUGAGGGAACCGAGACACGGAGCUGUUAGUGGGUGGCAGGGCAUCCAGACCCCACCCUGACCACUGUGCUCUGCAGCCUGACCAAGCGGAUGUUCUGGAAACUCAAGCAGCAGGUUUUACAAAGAGACUCCCCGACUUUCAUGCCUAAAGGGACAAGUGUCACAGAGCCCAGGAGAGGGGAACAGCAGCAUGGAGGGAGGCACCUCCUGGCCCUGCCACAGCCCUGCAGCCACAGCCCUGCAGCCUUCUCAGAGCUUCCUGGUAUGCCAGGGUGGUCCUGGCAAGGAAACGAGUCUUCCUCGUUGGACCCCCAUCUUCCUCUGGGCCUCCUCCUGCCUUACUCUGCCUCUCACGUGCAUCCACGCAUGUCUCUUCCAUAGGCCUAAGGACAGGGACACUGCCCAGAACAUGGUCCCAAACCUACUGUGAGGCAGGCUGCCAGCAGCCGAUGGCAACGCCCAGGGCUCCUGACCCAGAAGGCAGACGACGUGGGUUCUUGCCCUCACUCCACCACUGAGGUGCGGUGAUUGGCAGGCUGCAUCUCUUCACUGUGCCUCAGUUUCCCUAUGUGUAAAACGGAAGUGGUGACGGUAGGACUCCCUCCCAAGGCUAUUUGGAAGAUGAGGUGAGAAGAUCAGCACAGAGCCAGCAUCUCCCACGGGGGUCAGCAGAGUGUGCAGAAGCCUCUCCAGGCCCCUCCUCAUCCUGUGGGCUGCCACCUGUCCCUCACCUGAGACUAGUGUCUAUAACUAGAUACCAGAGGUCAAGGCUGCUGCGUGCUGUCCCCAUGACUAGAGCCUAGAGGAGGAGCCAGUCCCAUGACUGGAUCCUGGCAGGGGGGAGCCGUGUCCCCGUGACUGGAUCCUGGAGGAGCCAUAUCCCCGUGACUGGAUCCUGGAGGAGCCGUAUCCCCGUGACUGGAUCCUGGAGGAGCCAUAUCCCCGUGACUGGAUCCUGGAGGAGCCAUAUCCCCGUGACUGGAUCCUGGAGGAGCCGUAUCCCCGUGACUGGAUCCUGGAGGAGCCGUAUCCCCGUGACUGGAUCCUGGCGGAGGGGGAGCCGUGUCCCCGUGACUGGAUCCUAGAGGAGCUGUAUCCCCGUGACUGGAUCCUGGCGGAGGGGGAGCCGUGUCCCCGUGACUGGAUCCUGGCGGAGGGGGAGCCAUCUUCCACGACUGGAGUCGCCCCUUCUCCCCACUGCUCCAGUAAUUGCCCCCAACUUCUGGCCCUUUCACCUCCUCCUUUGGAGGGGCAGGAUUCUCAGAUGACCCCUUUAAAAGUAAACAGGACACUCCCGCUCUGCCUCCGAAGAAGCCUGCUCCUCCACGGCCUAAACCGC